UAUAUUUUGUAUUUUUGUUUGGUUUGGUUUUUGUGUUUUCAGUCAUUACUCAGUAAUUGCCUCUUUGAAGUUAGAACUCCAUCGCCAGUUAAACUAUGUGGGUUGUUGUUGUUGUUGUAUACGAUAUCAAAAAUUGUUAGUUCGAAAAAAAGGGGCAAGAAGAAGAAAACGAUAUCACUAGGUAAACCUCAUUUAAUAAGACUUUAAGCUUUUGAUUUUUGGUAGUGUUUGUUUUGUCAAACGUAUGAAUAUGAAUUUUCGUGUUUCAAUACGUAAAACGCUUUCGCUUUAUCAAACAAAAUUCAAACAUGAACUAAAAACAACAAAAAUGCUCUUUAAAUUAGUUUGAGAGUAUAUUAACCCUUGGGAAAUAUCGGUGAAGCCAUCGCCUUUUAUAAACUGUUUCGGGAUUGGAGUAAACUCUACACCCAAUUGCAACUUGUUUAUAGUAAAAACAGCACAGAAAUGAACAGAGGAACCAGAACUAAAAUCAAAUUAAACUAUAAAAAAGCAUACGUACAAAUGAAUCGAAUUGAAUAAAUACAAUUGAUUGACUAAGGUAGCACUAAAUAGCUUGCUUAUAUAUUAUAUAAAACCCUUGCACAACUAGAUUGUAAUUUCAAUCAAAAACUGUCGAUAAUAGUCGAUGCGCAGUAUUAAGGAUAAAAUGAGGUUAAAAUAAGUUUGUAUACAAAUCAGUCAAGGACAUAGGCCAAAUGAUUGUUAUUCAGUUAAUUGUCUAUGAAAUCCCACUUACAUAUAUCAUUAGAUAUAUAUCUGUUAUGUCCAUUCAAUUGCUGAUUUGUAAAACAAAGGUUUAAAUAAUGCACUUGCAAUGCAUUGAAUAGCGGGGUGCUCAAAAAUAUAUUUGGAAUGUCUAUUACAGUUUAAUAUAAAUUAUCCAAAAUUGACAUACAACUAUUGAUUUUCUAAGCUCCCCUUUUUUUUACACAUUUCCCGUCAAAAUUCAUAGUACUACAUGAAAGUACAACAAUUUGCAUUGGAUUAGACAGAGCUUUGGCCAAGGAAUAUCGCACUAGAAGGCAUUGAAGAGAAGGACAUGGAUAUCAAAAAAUAUUUAAGUAUUUGCUUUGCAUAUUUUCUAACACACCUUGCGAAAAGAAAAUAUCACUUAAUCUGCUUUAACUGUUUUUAUUUUUUGUAUUUUAUCAGCAUCUAAUGGGCACUUUAUAAAACAUUUCUUAUCAGCAAUUGAAUUUCUAUUUUGGUUGUUGAAGUAAAUAGAUGGACAGACUAGACAUGUAUGAAUAAAAAUGUUAAUGGACGGAUGUAAAGUUGAAAGGUUGAUUUGUUGUUAAUACCUUAGAUCAAUGCAAACAAGGCCACCUUUCAGGCACUCGAUGCAACGUUAUUUAAGUUAUUCAGUCAGCGGGUUUUACAAUAUUUAGCAAGGAUUCUAAUGUGCAAAAUAGGUUCAUCUUUUAAAACGAAACUCAGCCAAUGCAAAUACUUCUUUCGGUCAAAAGCAACUAGUUUUUGUCAUCAAAAUAAUACAAAGAAUAUUCGUUAAUCAUUAUUAUAUAUAUAUAUAUAUAUAUUAAUAUGUAUGACACGGUAUGAAACGGUGUUUUAUGCGCAAAUAUUAGUAUUGGCUAUACAGCCCUAGGUGUUUUUUAAAUAACUAUUUUCUUUUUUGUGUAUUUGUUUAUCAAAAAUAUCUCUAUAGAUUUAUCAAUCGGGCAACUUACCUUGUCGGGGACCGAAAUAUCUGCGGAACGUAAAGACUCCUCAUUGACUGACGGCUCAUUAGGGGGCAAACGUUGUUCCUGUACGCUCGCCAAACUAAUUAAUGAAUGAGAAAUGGUUCCAUCAGCAAUAGCAACUAAGAGGGGUCUAGUCGGGGAUGCCCGAUUAGCCAGAUACCCUAGACCCAUGUAGUUCUAAAUGUAUGAUCUUCAUGUACAAUUACAAAACGCGAUAUAUGUUU